rnacentral:rRNA from 1 species
CCUAAAUACUAAUACCAGAUCGAUAGUGCACAAGUACCGUGAGGGAAAGGUGAAAAGAACUGAGGUGAUCAGAGUGAAAUAGAACCUGAAACCAUUUGCUUACAAUCAUUCAGAGCCCUAUGUAGCAAUACAGGGUGAUGGACUGCCUUUUGCAUAAUGAGCCUGCGAGUUGUGGUGUCUGGCAAGGUUAAGCAAACGCGAAGCCGUAGCGAAAGCGAGUCUGAAUAGGGCGCUUAGUCAGAUGCUGCAGACCCGAAACGAAGUGAUCUAUCCAUGAGCAAGUUGAAGCUAGUGUAAGAACUAGUGGAGGACUGAACCCAUAGGCGUUGAAAAGCCCCGGGAUGACUUGUGGAUAGGGGUGAAAGGCCAAUCAAACUUCGUGAUAGCUGGUUCUCUCCGAAAUAUAUUUAGGUAUAGCGUUGUGUCGUAAUAUAAGGGGGUAGAGCACUGAAUGGGCUAGGGCAUACACCAAUGUACCAAACCCUAUCAAACUCCGAAUACCUUAUAUGUAAUCACAGCAGUCAGGCGGCGAGUGAUAAAAUCCGUCGUCAAGAGGGAAACAACCCAGACUACCAGCUAAGGUCCCUAAAUCUUACUUAAGUGGAAAACGAUGUGAAGUUACUUAAACAACCAGGAGGUUGGCUUAGAAGCAGCCAUCCUUUAAAGAAAGCGUAAUAGCUCACUGGUCUAGUGAUUUUGCGCGGAAAAUAUAACGGGGCUAAAGUAAGUACCGAAGCUGUAGACUUGCGCACAACUUAGAUUAUUUAAGUUUAGAAUAUGAGAAACUAAGUUAUAUGUUUAGUUAUAUUUUUACUGAUUUUUAUAGAGUAAAGAUAGAAAUAAAACUUAGUAAAAUCAGUAAAAAUAUUCUUAGACUAAAGUUAAGUAGUUUAAGUUGUGUGCAAGUGGUAGGAGAGCGUUCUAUUUGCGUCGAAGGUAUACCGGUAAGGAGUGCUGGAGCGAAUAGAAGUGAGCAUGCAGGCAUGAGUAGCGAUAAUUAAUGUGAGAAUCAUUAACGCCGUAAACCCAAGGUUUCCUACGCGAUGCUCGUCAUCGUAGGGUUAGUCGGGUCCUAAGUCGAGUCCGAAAGGGGUAGACGAUGGCAAAUUGGUUAAUAUUCCAAUACCAACAUUAGUGUGCGAUGGAAGGACGCUUAGGGCUAAGGGGGCUAGCGGAUGGAAGUGCUAGUCUAAGGUCGUAGGAGGUUAUACAGGCAAAUCCGUAUAACAAUACUCCGAGAACUGAAAGGCUUUUUGAAGUCUUCGGAUG